GGCGCAGCGCGCGGCGUCAGUCUUGGCUGGCAGACCUGUACUCCGUACUCCGUACUUCGUAGUCGCAGCGGCGCGGUCUUCGGCAGUCUAGUCAUCCACCGCCAUCCUGGGCCCCACGUGUUGCCUGACCAUUCCUGAGCCCAGGUGGGAGCCGUGGCUGAGGUGACGGUCUCAAAGUGGAAGAGCUUACUGUCACAGCAACUCCUUUGCAAGAUGCCCCGGCCAGGAAUAGUUGCUGAACACCCCAGGCCUGCUGAGGUCCCUCCUUGAGUCUCAUGUUCAAGCAGUCUUGUGAGUAAAGCACUGGCUACCCCUUUUCACUUACUAUCUUUUCAAGCAUGUUCUACCACCUUGGAAGGUAAGAGGUUAGUACCUUCUUCCAGAGCAGAGGGCAGGCAUUCUUGCUGUGCGUUGUGAAAGGGUAGAGUCCUGCGCUCCUUUCUUGUAGUAGUCCAAUGGCUCAUGCAGGUGCCUCUGACUCCCCUAUGGGAACUGGGGCUUGGGAGGGUGGUGGAAAAUGCUGAUGCUCUGGCUAUUGCUAUUGUUUUGAAUAAUCAGUGGUCCCUUGUCCCUAAUCGAGGAAUUUUGUAUUUUCUACCAGUGUCCAUGAAACUGGGAGGCGACCGUGUUAGCUGCCAGUUCCUGACAGCCACCUCUCACCAGUGGCUUCACUCUGUGUCCCUGACCCAGCACAUGGCACAAGAGUGCCUGCCAUCCGUCAGUGUUUCUACAGCAGCAAUCCCAAGAUGCUGGAGCUAGAGGGGACCUGACCUGAGAGAAGAUACCUUCAGUGGCUGCCAGGCUGUUCCUUGGAACCUGUGCAGGGAUGAGGCCUGCCUGUGUUAAUACACCUAGUGAGGAGUGGAGCUGAAUUUGAAUGCAAGCCUUGGCACCUUAAUUGAGCAAGUUUGAAACCUCGCUUGUUGCCCUUCUGGAAGGAGUCAGGAAUUUCCAGUUCUGGGCCUGGGCUGUGGGUCUGGCAGACAGACCUCUGGCCCUAGGUUUGGGUGCCAGGUUCUCUGCUUCCAGAAUGAGAAGCUUUGCUGUGCACCAGGACCUGGGCCCUUCUGGUAUCUCCUGAAUGAAAAACAAGGGAUAUUUAAUAAAUAUGGAUUUAAAUAUGU
rnacentral:lncRNA from 1 species